UCUAAUGGAAAUGACUUCGUUCAGCUGGUGAACAUUUUGGAAGAUUCCAGAAAAACAUGAACAAGUGUUUGAGUGCUCUUAAGGGGAUUGUCUAAUAUCUUGGCUCCUGACUCAUCCUUAGAAGUCUUCCAGCCACCUUGUACCCAUUUCAAGCCCAAGGGCUCUUUAACGUAAAUGAGUUACUGAGCAGAGUGUUGCUGGAGAUGGCCACUGGAGAGGCUGAGUCAAAUCAAUCUCCUCACCUGAGGACUUCCUAAGACCAGCGCACUGAAGGACCAGCAGCAACAACAACAAUAAUGCUAAUGCUCCCUUAUGGACAAGACUGCAAUUCUCUGCCUGCUGAAGCUCAGCUAUGACCACGUGACUUGCCUUGGCCAAUGAAAGAGGAAGAGUAUGUAACACUGCUGAAUGGAAGCAAGUGGCCCCUGCCCCUGCUGCAGAGAUUCUAGACAUGUGUGCCAUGCUGGAGCAAGGAGACAGGGAGUCCUGGAGAAAGGAGACAUGGAACAGAGCUCCCAGCCCAGUCAAUAUGUAACAUGAGUGAGAAAUAAAUAACA
rnacentral:lncRNA from 10 species